UACAGAGGGGGCAAGCGUUGUUCGGAAUUACUGGGCGUAAAGGGCGCGUAGGCGGCCUGCUAAGUCGGACGUGAAAUCCCCGGGCUUAACCCGGGAACUGCGUCCGAUACUGGCUGGCUUGAAUCCGGGAGAGGGAUGCGGAAUUCCAGGUGUAGCGGUGAAAUGCGUAGAUAUCUGGAGGAACACCGGUGGCGAAGGCGGCAUCCUGGACCGGUAUUGACGCUGAUGCGCGAAAGCCAGGGGAGCAAACGGG
rnacentral:rRNA from 1 species